AUGCGGAUCUGUUGUUUUCCUCGCAAUGUGCAGGUCUUCGAGCAAGGGAGCGACAAAUGUGAUGUGGCAGACGUCGACGACAGAUUCUCGGCGCUGUACAGGAAGUCCGGUCAUAGCUUUUGCGUGAGGACGAUAGUGAUGUCCUAUGCGAAGAUGAUGACAAGUGCUGAAUUGUUGCAUCUGUUUUUCCUUUUCUUUGAAUUUUCGGCUCUAUCUUUGGUUGUUGUACAGAUUUUUCGAUGA